rnacentral:rRNA from 1 species
CAUGGGGCGCCUCGCGCGCACCGGCGGACGGCUCAGUAACACGUCGGUAACCUACCCUCGGGAGGCGGAUAACCCCGGGAAAACUGGGGCUAAUCCCCCAUAGGUCUGAGGUACUGGAAGGUCCUCGGGCCGAAAGGGACUCUGUCCGCCCGAGGAUGGGCCGGCGGCCGAUUAGGUAGUUGGUGGGCUAACGGCCCACCAAGCCUAAGAUCGGUACGGGACAUGAGAGUGAGAGCCCGGAGAUGGACAGUGAGACAAGGGUCCAGGCCCUACGGGGCGCAGCAGCCGCGAAACCUCCGCAAUGCGGGAAACCGCGACGGUGGGACCCCCAGUGCCGUGGCAAUGCCACGGCUUUUCCGGAGUGUAAGGAGCUCCGGGAAUAAGGCUGGGCAAAGCCGGUGGCAGCCGCCGCCGUAAUACCGGCGGCCCGAGUGGUGGCCACUAUUAUUUGGGCCUAAAGCGUCCGUAGCCGGGCCCGUAAGUCUCUGACGAAAUCUCACGGCUCAACCGUGGGGCUCGCUGGGGAUACUGCGGGCCUUGGGACCGGGAGAGCCGGAUGGUACCCCUGGCGUAAGGGUGAAAUCCUAUAAUCCCAGGCAGACCGCCAGUGGCGAAGGCGCUCCGCUGGAACGGGUCCGACGGUGANNGACGAAGGCCAGUGGAGCAAACCGGAUUAGAUACCCGCGUAGUCCUGGCUGUAAAGGACGUGGGCUAGGUGUCGGGUGAGCUUCGGGCUCGCCCGGUGCCCGAGGGAAGCCGUUAAGCCCGCCGCCUCGGGAGUACGGCCGCAAGGCUGAAACUUAAAGGAAUUGGCGGGGGAGCACCACAAGGCGUGGAGCGUGCGGUUNAAUUGGAUUCAACGCCGGGAACCUCACCGGGGGCGACGGCAGGAUGAAGGCCAGGCUGAAGGUCUUGCCGGA